ensembl:ncRNA mir-9376 mir-9376 stem loop
AUAGCCAGCAUGGCCAAAGCGCUGUGCUUAAGUGGUCCAAGCGACCGAAAGCACUUUGACCAUGCGGUGGUGGCCA